UUACAAUUUGACUUUUUGACUAUCUGUUUUCUCUCUCAGUUUCAGUUUCUUCUCCCACGGGCCACAGUGCUACACUCUCUCUUUCCCUUAGCAAAUUAGGGUUUAUUAGCAAAAUAUGGGUUCUUGGUGAUCCUAGGAAGUAGAAGGAAGAAAAAGUGACAUCUUUGGGUGGAGAUCUGCUGCUGCUUCUCUCUCUAGGGUAGAAAAUUGAAAUGAGCGCCUCCAGGUUCAUAAAGUGCGUGACAGUCGGUGAUGGUGCUGUCGGCAAAACCUGCAUGCUGAUUUCCUACACCAGCAACACCUUUCCUACGGACUAUGUGCCGACUGUUUUCGAUAAUUUCAGUGCUAAUGUUGUUGUGGAUGGAAGCACUGUCAACUUAGCACUAUGGGAUACAGCUGGGCAGGAGGAUUACAAUAGAUUAAGGCCCUUGAGCUAUCGAGGGGCAGAUGUCUUUAUCCUCGCUUUUUCUCUCAUAAGCAAAGCCAGCUAUGAAAACGUUGCAAAAAAGUGGAUUCCUGAACUGCAGCAUUAUGCACCCGGCGUUCCAAUAAUUCUGGUUGGAACAAAGCUUGAUCAGCAUCAAGGUGCAGCAGAGCUGUAUUGCUCUGCUUUUGUUAGUCUUCUCAUUUCUAAACUUCUUUUGAUCUUCGGGAUGAUAAACAAUUUUUUAUUGACCAUUCUGGUGCAGUUCCCAUUAAUACUACUCAGGGAGAGGAAAUGAGGAAACUAAUUGGAGCGCCAGCAUACAUUGAGUGUAGCUCAAAAACACAACAGAAUGUGAAGGCUGUUUUUGAUGCGGCCAUUAAGGUUGUGCUCCAGCCGCCGAAGCAGAAGAAGAAAAAGAGAAAGGGACAAAAGGCUUGCGCCAUAUUGUGAUAAGUAACAAGUAGAUUUAGGAGAUGAUGUGUUGACUGGCCGGUCUUUCUUCGUCACUACCUCCUUUUUAUUUGAAGUCCUUUGAGGAAGCAGCAAGACGUGGUGUAUGUAUAGCAUUCACUGACAUUCUAGGGAUUCAUGUGAUAGCAUUAGAAUGGUUUGUUUAAGACAUGUUUUCACGUAGUGUAACUCUUGGUUAGCCUUGUUGACACACGUACCUCUGUGUCUCUCUCAUACAUAUACCAGAGGUGAUGAAGAUCCCUAUUAUGACAGAUGUUAUUGGUUCCAAUGUAUUCAUAAUUGUCAUUCCCCAUUUUAAAUGUUUGAUAAUACAAAAGUUUG